rnacentral:tRNA from 1 species
GUAGUUCAAUGGAUAGAACAAAUCCGUCCUAAGGAUAAAAUGGGGGUUCGAUUCCCUCCGAGGGCACAA